UACUCGAGUGGCGAACGGGUGAGUAACACGUGGGUGAUCUGCCCUGCACUUCGGGAUAAGCCUGGGAAACUGGGUCUAAUACCGGAUAGGAGCCAUUUUUAGUGUGAUGGUUGGAAAGUUUUUUCGGUGUAGGAUGAGCUCGCGGCCUAUCAGCUUGUUGGUGGGGUAAUGGCCCACCAAGGCGGCGACGGGUAGCCGGCCUGAGAGGGUGGACGGCCACAUUGGGACUGAGAUACGGCCCAG
rnacentral:rRNA from 1 species